rnacentral:rRNA from 1 species
AUGGGCGCCGAUGCGGCGGGGCUGGACGUGGCGAGGGCCAAGCGGAGGCGGGUGCUGGCGGCCAAGACCAGAGGGGGCAGGCCGCGGCAAGCGAGGAGACGUGCGCAGCCGCAGCCGCCGACGGCGCUGCAGCGUCUCUUCCGGGCCUGCCGCGCCGUCUUCAGGGGCCCCGGCACCGUGCCCGCGCCACACGAGGUCGCCCUGCUCCGGGCCAUGCUCGACGGAAUGAGGCCAGAGGACGUCGGCCUGAGCCCAGGCAUGAGGUUCUUCAGGACUAUAGAUAAUGCGGCCCCAGGGAACCCAACCAUCACACACACCACCAUAUACGAAUCUGACAAUUUCUCAAUGGUCAUCUUGUACCUGCCGCAAAAUGCGGUCAUCCCUCUACACAAUCACCCCGGGAUGACCGUGUUCAGCAAGCUGCUCAUCGGAUCGAUGCACAUAAAGUCGUAUGACUCGACUGAUCCCGAUGAUCUAGCCGUGUUAGACUUGAGGUUGGCGGAGCUGGUCGUGGAUGAUCUCUUCACCGCUCCGUGCGACACGUCGGUCCUCUACCCGACGGCGGGAGGCAAUAUGCACCGGUUCACGGCCAUCGCGCCAUGCGCCAUCCUCGACAUCCUUGGCCCCCCUUACUCCAUAGAGGAACGGGAUUGCACCUACUACGCGGAUGUCCCCUACUCCUCCCAUCAUCUCAGGACACUGACCAGCAAUGAGCAAGAAGGCCGGCGCCUCGCGUGGCUGAAAGAGGUUGAGCAACUCAAACCCCAACUCAAACAAGAUGAUGUCAGAAUCGUUUGCCGUGUGACUAUAGCAGCAAAGCUAGCUGCUUCAGCCGUGAGCAUAGGUUUCAGUUUGUGCAUGAUGUCUCAGUGA